GGGUCAAAAGUUUGGACACCCCGGCCCCCAAGCACUGUGUGUAAUGGAGCCUCGGGUCAAAAGUUUGGACACCCCAGAGCCCCAGUACUGUGUGUAAUGGAGCCACGGGUCAAAAGUUUGGACACCCCUGAGCCCCAGUACUGUGUGUAAUGGAGCCACGGGUCAAAAGUUUGGACACCCCAGAGCCCCAGUACUGUGUGUAAUGGAGCCACGGGUCAAAAGUUUGGACACCCCAGAGCCCCAGUACUGUGUGUAAUGGAGCCACGGGUCAAAAGUUUGGACACCCCAGAGCCCCAGUACUGUGUGUAAUGGAGCCACGGGUCAAAAGUUUGGACACCCCAGAGCCCCAGUACUGUGUAAUGGAGCCACGGGUCAAAAGUUUGGACACCCCAGGGCCCCAGUACUGUGUGUAAUGGAGCAACUGGUCAAAAGUUCGGGUACGCCGGUCAGCUCUGCAAUCACACUCGCAGUUUCUGUAGGAACUGCAAUCUAGUUAUAUACUAAAGUGUGUUUCCACACAUACCCAGCAGUCCUAACACAACAUAUUUGUAUAAUCCACCAUGAUUUUAUGUCAGAAUAGCCAUGAAAUUGAUGACUCAUUUAUUUUCAAUUAUUUUAAAUUCAAUCCAAUUUAAAAAAAACUAUAUUUGUAUUGAUCACAACACUAUUCUGUGAUUAAUUAAGAAUAAUUACUUCUUUUCUUUUUCUUAAAAGAAGCAACAUUAGAUUGACAAAGUGAAGUAUAUGUUUACAGAAUAAAUAGCAUUAAUCACAACAAAAUUCAGUAAUUAAUCGUGAUUAAAUAUAAAAAUAAUUUAAAGUGUUAAUGAAUGAAAUUAAAAGUUAGCUUAUGCCAGCAGCUCCGUGCAUAUGUGUGUGUGUGUGUAUGUGCACAUGCACUUGCACACCUGUGCCUGAAAAGAGAGAGAUUUAAAAUGUAUAGUAGCAUACAUUAAAAAUAGAUGCUGCAUUAACCUCCCUGGAAAAAAAAAACGCUAAUACGUCACUGAGCUCUGUAAAAUUAGUUCAUUACAGGAGGUUGUGGCCAAACUUGGUAACGCAAUUAAUCUGUGGUUAAAUAAAAAAUUAACGCAUUAAAAUGUUCACAUGCGUUAAUGCUCUAUCUUUGACAGCACUAGUUUAAAUCCAAAUGGCAACAGAUAAAGAAUAAAGCUACAUGAACGAGGAUGGGCUAUGUUUAUAAUUAUAAUUGAUAACACAGCUAAGCUACAGCUCCCACACUACUGUGACCCCUGUGAUACAGUGUGUGUACUGUUACACCCCUAAUUUAAAUCUAGUUUAAAACUCUAUAUCCUGUUAAUUCCCUUUAAGAGACUUUCCUAAAGCAUAAUUCCGGUUGUGGUGAUGUCUGUGAUGCAGACAACACAGAAUCCACUUUGGUUUCAUGUUUAUGGGAUGCCCUGGGACUUAUUGUUUUAUUAGUUUGAUCAGAGAUUGAGAGGCUGUAGAGGAAUCGCUGUAUACGCAGGACUGUGUCCUGAACGUUGUGUUCUUUAUGUAUUUUGCCCUUGUGGUAAUUGUUAAGGUCUAUAUUAUUGCAGUUUUUUGUGGUAGUGCACAGUUUACCAAAUCCAAAUCUAGAACAGUACUGUAAAUUUAAGGCAGGUUAUUUUACUUUGAAAAGGAUGAAAGUAAAGACUUUAAGGGGAAAAAAAAGUCAGACACUCUUAUAACUGUAGCUUCAGUUUUAGGUGUUUUAAAAGUUUUGAAGUGGUGUGAGCUGUCUAGUAAAAGACUGUACACAACAGAUAAGCGAUAAGUUGGUCUGGAUUAAGUUUUUGAUUAAACUGCUAUAAAGUUUCUGUCAGCCUUCUACUUCUACUUAGACUGAAUAAGUUAAUCCACUGAGGUCUGUAAAUUAACUGGCUGUCUUCAUGCAUCUAUUAAUAUCUGUGCAAAAACACAAUUCAGAUAUAUGAAAUCAACUGCAUCUUAUCCCAAGGUUGUAUGUGAAUCACAUAUUAAGUUUUAAGGCAGUAAAAACAGCUAAGAUUUAGCUGAAGAGAAAAAUGUAACUGAAAAUCUGCAUUUAAAAUCAACAAUUAUUCAAUCAAGUCUUCAGUGAUUUUAAUUUGGUGAGUGUUCAUAAUCAGCUUUACAGCAAACAUAGACUGUACUAUUGCAGAUAUAUUCAUAAGAACUAGAACUGCACCAUAUUGGGGAGAAUUUUUUAUUGGAUAAUACAUUAAAUUUUGCCAAAGCUCAAACAGCCAGCAUGUUAUGAUCAAUAUUAAUAAGGCAGUUUAUGUAUCAAGUAAAACAAAUGGGGUAGAAACAGUGCACAUGUGUACAUUGUGAUAUUAUUCAAUACUGGAUAAGAACAAUAAAAAUAUAUAUAUAUAUGUUUUGAAGCACCAGUGAGUUUGUGGACUCCAGAGGGUAAACCGUACUGUAUCAUUCUGAAAGAGGAUGAAGUGUUAGUGUAGAGGAGAUCGUUCCUCAGACAUUAGAUCUUUACAAACUAACAGACAAAAGAAGAAUAUGAUGGUGAACAUAAACCUGACUGUGUUGGUUUUUACUGCCACACUCACCAAAUGUUUCUGGGCCCACUUGAACUUGACCAUUCUGAAUCUGGUAUUGAUUUGUUGAAAUUGGGAAUGCACUGAAAUGAAAUUGUUUGUCUGAAACCAAAACUAAACAAUAUGAAAAUGUUGUUAAUUUCAUUCAUUUUGCAUUAAUUUAAUAGCACAGGGUGGGAUGACGUGCUGUUCAGGUGAAUUGGACUAUGUGUUUAUCCACCCUGCGAUGGAUUGGUGGCCUGUCCGGGGUGUAUCCUGCCUUUUGCCCAGUGGCUGCCAGGGUGUGAUUAAGUGAAAACUGUUAACAUCCCAGCAGAAAUUCCAACAAAGCACAAUAUGACUAAAAAUAAAUUAGUCACUGUUCACAUUGGUUUUUUGUAAAUUAUUGGGUUCUUUUAAGUAUUUUAUUUUUUUAUUUUCAGACCAAUAAUUUCAGUUUCUAAAUAUUUGGUGCAUUCCUAAUUUUACAACAUUUUAUCGAUGAAAAAGAUCAUUCUGGAGAUAUCCUAUAGAGAAGGCCAUAAUGUUCCCCAUAAAAAGGGUCUUUGUACAAUAUUUCAUGCUUUUAUGCUACAUUAAAAAAGGGACAUUUGGGUAUUUUCCCUUCUGAAUAAUUUGAGUUUGUUUCAGAGUUUGUUGAGAUUUCAGUUUCUGUUCAGGCUCUUUUUGCUGGUUGUUGGAACUUGUUAGAUGGAGACUGUACAAUUAGGCCUGUCAUGAUAAUUGUGAUAUUUCUGUUUUCUGACCUCAGUAUCGUCCAUUGUUUUUUCUAUAUGUGUUGUGUUACACAAUGACCAAUGGCGUCCCAUAAUCACAGAGUAGGAUGUGGUAGGUUUAAAAGAAAAAAAAAAGGUAUACCACCUCCACACUAUGAUUAUUAGAGAUAGUAUAAAUGGAUUUAAUUACAUUAGUUGCAUUAUUGGGUCUGGUACAAUACUAAAAUAUGGUUUAUUUCUCACUUAUUUCUGUGUCAAUAUGUCA